rnacentral:rRNA from 1 species
UAAUUUGCAGAGGAUGCUUUUGGCGAGGCGCCUUCCGAGUUCCCUGGAACGGGACGCCGCAGAGGGUGAGAGCCCCGUCUGGUCGGACGCCGAGCCUCUGUAAAGCUCCUUCGACGAGUCGAGUAGUUUGGGAAUGCUGCUCUAAACGGGAGGUAUAUGUCUUCUAAAGCUAAAUACCGGCCAGAGACCGAUAGCGCACAAGUAGAGUGAUCGAAAGAUGAAAAGCACUUUGGAAAGAGGGUUAAACAGUACGUGAAAUUGUUGAAAGGGAAGCGCUCGUGGCCAGACUUGGGCGCGGCGGAUCACCCGGCGUUCUCGCCGGGGCACUCCGCCGGGCCCAGGCCAGCAUCAGCUCGCGCCGGGGGACAAAGGCGGCGGGAACGUGGCUCCUCCGGGAGUGUUAUAGCCCGCCGCGCAAUGCCCUGGGGCGGGCUGAGGUUCGCGCGUCCGCAAGGAUGCUGGCGUAAUGGCCACCAGCGACCCGUCUUGAAACACGGACCAAGGAGUCGUCUUCGUAUGCGAGUGUUCGGGUGUCAAACCCCUACGCGCAAUGAAAGUGAACGCGGGUGAGAGCUUCGGCGCAUCAUCGACCGAUCCUGAUGUUCUCGGAUGGAUUUGAGUAGGAGCAUACGGGGCCGGACCCGAAAGAAGGUGAACUAUGCCUGUAUAGGGUGAAGCCAGAGGAAACUCUGGUGGAGGCUCGCAGCGGUUCUGACGUGCAAAUCGAUCGUC